GCUAAGUGUUAGGGGGUUUCCGCCCCUUAGUGCUGCAGCUAACGCAUUAAGCACUCCGCCUGGGGAGUACGACCGCAAGGUUGAAACUCAAAGGAAUUGACGGGGACCCGCACAAGCAGCGGAGCAUGUGGUUUAAUUCGAAGCAACGCGAAGAACCUUACCAAAUCUUGACAUCCUUUGACCCUUCUAGAGAUAGAAGUUUCCCCUUCGGGGGACAAAGUGACAGGUGGUGCAUGGUUGUCGUCAGCUCGUGUCGUGAGAUGUUGGGUUAAGUCCCGCAACGAGCGCAACCCUUAAACUUAGUUGCCAGCAUUUAGUUGGGCACUCUAGGUUGACUGCCGGUGACAAACCGGAGGAAGGU
rnacentral:rRNA from 1 species